GGAUUAGAUACCCUGGUAGUCCACGCCGUAAACGAUGUCUACUUGGAGGUUGUGGCCUUGAGCCGUGGCUUUCGGAGCUAACGCGUUAAGUAGACCGCCUGGGGAGUACGGUCGCAAGGUUAAAACUCAAAUGAAUUGACGGGGGCCCGCACAAGCGGUGGAGCAUGUGGUUUAAUUCGAAGCAACGCGAAGAACCUUACCAGGUCUUGACAUCCAGAGAACUUACUAGAGAUAGUUUGGUGCCUUCGGGAACUCUGUGACAGGUGCUGCAUGGCUGUCGUCAGCUCGUGCCG
rnacentral:rRNA from 1 species